UUCCAUAGAGAAUGUCUGCAGGCUGAAUC
rnacentral:piRNA from 1 species